rnacentral:tRNA from 1 species
GCCAGGAUAGCUCAGUUGGCUAGAGCGACGGUGUCGUAAACCGUAGGUCGUGGGUUCGACCCCCACUCCUGGCU